rnacentral:tRNA from 1 species
GGGGAUACAGCUCAGUGGUAGAACAUAUGCUUCACAUGUAUGAGGCCCCAGGUUCUAUCCCUGCCAUCUCCC